UUAGGGAGAAAGUCGUCCUGGCAGUGUGGCAAUAAAAGAACGCUUUAAUUUCAGAGCUAAUUAAAUAUCAACCAUUGGAAUGCGGCAACAGACACUUAACCUGCAGUAACCCAUUAUUUAUUAGGAAUAUAACGCACUGACUCUGGAUAUGAUGUGAGUUGUAAUCGUUUUAAUAUCAGCUGUCACAGUCUAGCGGCUCCCUUUUUUUUUGCUCCAGCACAAUCAUCUCCCAGCCCUGCGGGGAUCACUCUGGCACCUGGAUCCACGAAAGAUUAAUUAAGCUGACUGGCCUUGGCCCUGGGGCAACACAAUCUGUGAUCAAGGGAGGGCCGUACAGGCAAACAACAGGUAACCGCUUGGUCCAGUCCCACCUGGGUCAAAGGGACAAGUCUGAGCCAUGAGAUGGACCAGGUAGGAUGCUUUCAGCUGCAAGUAACAGGAAAAAAUAGACAACAUGAAGGACUCAACCUAGAAGGACUCUGACAAAAAGGGUUUAUUAUCUCACAUAAAAAGAAGCAGGUGGGGGCAGGUGGGGUUGCAAAAUCGGAUAGUUCCAAAGCUUGACAAUAUUGUCGGACGUUCGGCUUCCCUCUUUGCUCACCACCCUACCACCCUUAGCAGGCGGCUGAAGUCACCCUUCCCGGUGUCAAGAUGAUCUGCGUCUAUCACACACACAGGAAAGAGGAAGACCCUUCCUUCUAUGCAGCUUUCCCUUCCAUUCCUUUUUUUAAAAUAAUGUAUUUAGUUCGGCAUCAAUUUAGAUUUACUGAAAACUGGCAAAGAUAGCAGGUGUGUUAGUCACUCUGUUGUGUCCGACUCUCUGCGACCCCAUGGACUGUAACGUGUCCGGCUCCUUGGUCCAUGGGAUUUACUAGGCAAGAAUACUGGAGUGGGUUAUCAUGCCCUCCUCCAGGGAAACUUCCCGACCCAGGGAUCAAACCCAGGCCUCCUACAUUGCAGGCAGAUCCUUUACCAUUUGAGCCACAUAGCACUUCUACAUCCUGAAAUUAGAUCGUGCAUUAAUCAACUAGAUUGGGCUGGAGUUGCAGUCCUUCUCUGAAAGGUGAGUUUCAGAGUCAGGGACUUGUUUGCUCACCACUGUUUCAUACGAACCCAGAGCCGUGCCAGGCAUGUGGCCAGUGCUCAUUCAAUAUCUCCUGAAUGAACGAAGCGGCAGCUAGAGUCGUGGCUGCAAAGAUGUGGGAUGUACACCAUUAUCAGCAGCGGCAGCCAGAAUGAUCUGACCACUAACUCAGGACGCUGGGAUGUUUUCAGAGCCAAAUCCCCACGCCCCCUUGCCUUUGGCCAGGCUGUGUGUUCAGGAGGACAGCUGUUCUCCACCUGGGAAGUGGCUCAGCCCACAGUUUCUCCAGAUGGACUCAGGGCAUCUCCUGGGCACCAAGCUCCUCUGAUGUGAUCACCUUCAGCAGGAGCAGUCACGUGGACCAACCACCCUGCCCAUCGCUCAAGCCUGGAAAAGGGGCUCCCCAUUGCCCGUCCUCAGUCACACACAGCCCCCUCCAGCUUCAACGGAGCAUUAAUUAUGCAGCCAGCCUGGCCUGGGCAGAAAAACGCAAGGCAAAUGCCAAUUCAGAGGACCACCUGCUGGCCUAAAAUUCUUAAAGUAAGCUGAUUAUGAGGAGCCUCACUUCCCUGGAGACUUCUGAUGGUCUGGGUCCUCUGCCCCUGGCCCCUCAUCAUCCAGGACUGCGCUGGAACAGAGUUGGUUCAGCUCUCUCCCCUCCCACAUCAUGGUGGCUCCCCAGGCCACCCAGCCCCUCCCAUUCGGGGCCUUAAAGGAACAAAGCAGGCUGAAAUGCCAGCUCUGCCUCCUUCUAGCUCUGUAACCUUCAACAGGCCUUUUAACCCAGGGAUCAGCAAGCAUCUUUCUGUAAAGGGCUGGAGAGUAAAUAUUUUAGCUUUUGUGGGCCAUAUGGUCUGGUGCUGCAAGUCAACUCCACCCUCGAAGCUCAAAAGAGAGCAGCCGUAGACAGUACAGAAAAGAUUGGGCGUGGCUGU